rnacentral:rRNA from 1 species
CACGUAGGGUGCGAGCGUUGUCCGGAAUUAUUGGGCGUAAAGAGCUCGUAGGCGGUUUGUCGCGUCUGCUGUGAAAACUCGGGGCUCAACUCCGAGCUUGCAGUGGGUACGGGCAGACUAGAGUGCGGUAGGGGAGACUGGAAUUCCUGGUGUAGCGGUGGAAUGCGCAGAUAUCAGGAGGAACACCGGUGGCGAAGGCGGGUCUCUGGGCCGUAACUGACGCUGAGGAGCGAAAGCAUGGGGAGCGAACAGG